UAAAAUCAUUUUUUGGACUACCGUUUCUCCCAUUGGAGAAGGUUGUAGAAGGAUUUUUAGAACUCAUGAGUAAGUGUCCAAAUGAAAGUGAAUUUUCUGAUUACAUACUUAAAUCGUACAUAGAAACAAGAACCUGGUUGUCUAUUCCCACUUGAAUUAUGGGCAAGUAAACCUUCAAUUACUCCAAGAACUUAGAACCACAAAUGGAGCAGAAAGUUUUCAUAAAAUGUACAACGGACAAUUUCACAGUGCUCAUAUCCAUCGAAGCAUGUAGUAAUAUCUGUACUGUAGUGGAAAUACAAGCCGAAACUAUGACAAAAAUUAAUUCAAUUGCUAGAAACGUGCACAAUAAAAUGGAACCAUCCGAUUUAAAACAUAUACAUAAUAUUAUACAACACUACAAUAAUUAUAAAGUACAUAAAAAUAGUAUAAAAUAUCUUACAUCUAUUGGCAUUAUGUAUCAAGGGAAAAAUUAUAUUAAAUUAUUUUACAUUAUUUUUUGUAAUGACGUCUAUGAGAUUGUAAUAAACCACUUGUAAUAAAUUUGACAACGUUGCACCCAAUUCCUAUUGAAUUCCUAUGAACAAAAAAUUGUGCAGAAUCGUGUUCAAAAAACAAAAAACGUGCGGAAUCUUAUUCCUCCCAACUAUAUCUAGUGAUAAUAAAUAUAUGCAUACAUGUUUUGUGACUUACUAUAUACGUGCGAUUAUUAAAUUUAAUUUUAAAUAGUAGUGGAAAAGUGACUAAGUGAUUAGGUAUUGGUUUAAUACUAAUAGUCGUUUAAUAAUUGAAUCAUGACGAAGUCCACGUUUAAGUUGGCGUUGAACUGUUGAAGUAAUGAUUUUACUUUGAAAUGGUAGGUCAUAGAUUAUAGAACCCGUUGACUAGUGAAUGAACUUAAAGAAACUUUAAGAUUUGGAAUUUCGAAGCCUUUGUGUAUGUUUAUUCAGAAGUCCCUAUUUUUUAGUGAACACAAAGUGUGUAGUCCGAAAUUGGAAAUGUGCAUUUCGGAUUUGAGAAGUGUGUACCAAUAUACAAGACUACUGUCUACUGACCUAUAGGAUACCUAUUACCUACACUACAUUACAAUUGAACAUUUUUUUUUAUUUUUGAAAAAGAAAGUUUCCAAGAUAACAAAAAUAAAUUGUUUUCAAUUAAAUUUUACCAAAUAGAUCUAUAAUUUUCUACUUUUAAUUGUGAAUAGUGAACACGUCGGAUAUAGAUACCAGAUAUAUUUAGUAUUAUUAUCAGUAUACGUAUAUUGUGAAGGAGAUUCCUCGUCAUAUUUUUUUUUGUUUAAUGUUGUCUACUCCACGUAUAAUGUAGUUAGGUAUAUUACCGAGGUACAAAAUAAUAUAUUAUUAUUAACUGAUUAUCACUAUUAAAAUAGGUAAAAACUCAAAAUAAUAAAUUAUUUAUGUAAUUAUUUUAUAUAUUGAUAGUACAGGCUGGUAGCCCAAUGGUUAUACGAUGUGAAACAUUUAAAGACAUAGUUGAAAUAUUAGAGUACAAUAAAAAAUAAUAAUUAAUAAGAAACAAAAAACACCAAAAAUUAAUAAUGAAAAACAAUUAUAUUGUGCUAUACAAAUAAAUACUCUGAGGAACCAAAUAUUAUAAUAUGAAUUAAAUUUUAAAUGAAAUAUCUUACAUAAAAUAAUGUAUUUAUUUAAUUUUAAUACAGUCAUUUAUUGUUAUAUUUAUAUUUCAUAAGAAUAUUUUUUUAGUUUAUAAAAUAAAAAUGUUUUUUUAAUUUUUUUAAUAAUGUCUCAUGGGUACAUAAAAAAAUGUGUACCUAGUACCUACGAAUUUUUAAGAAAAAUAGUAGCUGGUUUAUCGUUUAGGCUAGGCGUUACUUCCAAACUACGGGACAUUAGUUAUUGUUUUAGUUUAGGUUUUUAUUUUGGAAUAUUUGUAGUUUUUCAAGUGGUUUUGUGCGUAUUUA